GAGACGCGCUAGAUCCACCACCAAGCUUGCAAGCAGAAGAGGCAGCAAGUGAUGCUGAAGGCUGUGCUGCAGCCACUUCACCGGAACCUAGAGCUACCUGUGAACAGGUCUCCUACACGUUGAAGAUUUUUCUGGAUUUAGGGUGUCUAACCUUUGAUGGGAAAGGGCAGCUUCAUCUUGGAGUGUUUACUUUCAAGAAUUGCUAUGGGCUAAAAAUCAAUUCUCUUUAAAAGCAAAGAUUUAAUCUGAUAAGGAAUCAAUGCAGCAUGCUAAAUACCUUUCAUAUGGCAUGAAAACGUCUUCAGUUACUCAAGCCACAGGCAAUGAGAAUAAGGUGCCACAGCACCGUAUUUUUCACAAAAAGAGUGACCUGGGAUUCAAGAAACCUGUAUAGUAUAACUAUCGCCAGUUCGUUUUGUGGCUUUGGGCAAGUCACUUCACCUUUUGUGAAAGUCUGGAGCUUCUUUAAAAUUUCUGAACUGCAUUAGAUAACGCUUUAAAAAUAUACCUGACAUUCUGUAACUUUAAAUAAAUGAAAAAUGCCAAUCUAUUAAGUGCUUAAUUUUGUGCCGGGCACGAUUUCAAAUUCUUUCCUUAUUUCACUUAGUUAUAAAAUGGAGGCACAAGAAGUUUCCUAAGUAGUCCAGUAUGGCAGAGCUAGUGAUGGAGUCAGGGUAAAACCUACUUCGAGUCUGGUCUUAACCACGAUGAUGCUCCUUCGACGAUUUCUUCGAGUACUGGGCCCUGUUCAACCUCAUCUUGGUAUCACUAAACGCUCGUGUGUGUGUCUGGUGGUUACAUCUUCCCAAACUGGAUUUUAAAUGAAUACAGUGAACCCUAACGUUUUUCUGGUGUGGAUAGUAAGUAGGCCCAUUGGAUUAACAAUACUUAAGCUUGGGUAAUUGAAAGCAUUUUUUAAAAUGAAGACGGUCCUAUUUUGGAAAUGCAGAAAGGCGAGAUGAAAGCCAAACUCUGACAGUUAAGUCCUAACCUCCAGUACCUCAGAAUAUGAACUUAUUUGGAAAUAAGCUGUUGAAGAACACCAUGUGACAACAAAGGCUCCAACUUCAGUUACCCAGCUGCAAGCCAAAGGAAUGCCAAAGACAGCCAGCAAACCUCCAGAAGAGAGGAAGAGACAAGGCAGGAUUCCCCGCUGGAGGCUUCAGAAAGAGCAUGUCACUGCCCACCCCCACAUACUGCCUCUGGUUUGUGGUACUUUGUUACAGCAGCCCUUGGAAGCUAAUACAAAUGCUAUUAUAAAGCC
ensembl:lncRNA novel transcript, antisense to SLC4A7